rnacentral:rRNA from 1 species
AUGGAAGUGGCCUUAGCUAGCGCUGCCUUAAGCGUUAGCUUAAAAUCGGCUGCAUCGCCAGUCUUGCAGAAGCUCCUUGCUAAUGCUUCAACAUACCUUGGAGUGGACAUGGCGCGCGAGCUCCAUGAACUGGAGACCACAAUCUUGCCGCAGUUUGAGUUGUUGAUCGAAGCAGCAGACAAGGGAAAACACAGGCCCACGUUGGACAAAUGGCUUCAUGAACUCAAAGAAGCAUUCUGCAUGGCGGAAGACUUGCUGCAUGAGCAUGAGUAUGGCCUCCUUGAGCGCCAAGCAAAGGGGAAGGAUUCCUUGCCUGCAAAUGCCUCCUCCCUCAGCAGCUCUUUUAUGAAGCCUCUGCGUGCUGCAUCAAGCACGCUGUCCAAUCUGAGCUCUCGGAACAGAAAGCUAAUUCGCCAUCUAAAUAAACUGAAGGCUCUCCUGGCGAAAGCCAAGGACCUCCGUCAACUGCUCUGCUUAUAA